rnacentral:rRNA from 1 species
GACGAACGCUGGCGGCGUGCUUCAUACAUGCAAGUCGAACGAGAAGCAGGAGCUUGCUCCUGUGGAAAGUGGCGGACGGGUGAGUAAUAUGUAGGAAAUCUGCCUUAGAGAGGGGGACAACAGAGGGAAACUUCUGCUAAUACCCCAUAUGAGCGUACCUGAAAUGGUAUUCUUGAAAACUACCGGUGCUCUAAGAUGAGCCUGCAUCUGAUUAGCUUGUUGGUGGGGUAAGUGGCCUACCAAGGCGACGAUCAGUAGCUGGUUUGAGAGGAUGAUCAGCCACAAUGGGACUGAGACACGGCCCAUACUCCUACGGGAGGCAG